rnacentral:piRNA from 1 species
UUCAUAGCAGCAUGAUAAUGGACUAAUAC